rnacentral:misc_RNA from 1 species
ACUCGCUUAUUCUUAAAGACAUUGCCUUUAACCUUCAUGUACAUAUCAUGGUACAUGUGUUUGUCAAUCUUCUUCGACUCUCUGUACUUGCGGAGCAGACGCCUGAGCACACGCAUCCUUCUCACCCAGAGAAUUUUUGUCGGCAACCUAGCCUCUCUUGUACCUUUGCGCUUACCAUAUCCCGAGUGGCGUCCUUUUCUCUUAGCUUCCUUCAUGCGGCGUGCACGAGAUCGGGAGUGAAUCUU